rnacentral:snoRNA from 1 species
UCGUAUGAUGACUUUCCCGAUAGGGACAUCUGAUGCAAAAUUGCAUAUGAUGUUAUCAGGACAAGAUAUUUUAGUAGAUGCUUCUUGACUAUCUGAAA